rnacentral:rRNA from 1 species
UACGAAGGGGGCUAGCGUUGUUCGGAAUUACUGGGCGUAAAGCGCGCGCAGGCGGUCUUCCAAGUCAGUGGUGAAAGCCUGGAGCUCAACUCCAGAACUGCCAUUGAAACUGUUGGACUUGAGUACGAGAGAGGUGAGUGGAAUUCCCAGUGUAGAGGUGAAAUUCGUAGAUAUUGGGAAGAACACCAGUGGCGAAGGCGGCUCACUGGCUCGUAACUGACGCUCAGGCGCGACAACGUGGGGAUCAAACAGG